rnacentral:tRNA from 1 species
UAGCUCAGUGGUUAGAGCAGGCGACUCAUAAUCGCUUGGUCGCUGGUUCAAGUCC